AUGGCAGUAGCACAAACGACCACCAUCUUCUCCUCUGCCAUCAUCAUCGUGCUCUUUUCCUCGUCAAUUGUUGCUCAUACUAGCGGUGAUGUUGGUGGCAAGCCGAAGGCAGCCGAUUUCGUGACAAAGAAAUCCACCUCACGGAGAAAUUCUGUGUCUCGACCCUCCGGUCGGACAACCGAAGCGGCAAGGCUAAGGACCUUCGUGACCUGGCACUCAUUGGCGUAG
rnacentral:rRNA from 1 species